UACUCCUACGGGAGGCAGCAGUGGGGAAUAUUGCGCAAUGGGGGAAACCCUGACGCAGCGACGCCGCGUGAGCGAAGAAGGCCUUAGGGUCGUAAAGCUCUGUUCUAAGGGACGAAGUCCUUCCGGGGUAAUAUAUCGGAAGGGUGACGGUACCUAAGAGAAAGCCCCGGCUAAUCACG
rnacentral:rRNA from 1 species